GAGUCCGGCAGCUUCCGCAGCCUCAUGGGCACCGUCUGCGGCACGUUGGCCGUCUUGGGGUUCAUGACGGCGUUGAAGAGCGCCUCCAGCUCUACUUUUGGAGCAAUUACCAGUUUAAGGCACCUGGAGACAGCGGGUCCUUCUCACAAAAAGACCCUGACCUUCAGUGUCCAUGGAGGUCACUGUCUCCAAACGCUGCUCCUGCAAUGACUCGCACUCCGCUCCGGUGGACCCUCCCAUCCGCUCCACCUUAGCCACCAGCGCCUGCAUCCACACCGUCGCAUCCAGAAACACGCCCGGCGGGAAAUCAGCGUCUGUUACACUCUUCUCCUGAUAACCACUUGUUCUCUCCUUUCAUCACUCACGCCGCAUUUAGCGUUAAUCUCUUUUCUACCAACCUUUUGCUCCCUUGUUCUCACUUCUUUCCUAGUUCAGUUUAGAAAUCAUAACUCAUUCCUUCAACCUCAUAAUCUAUGCCUUCAGUCCGAUGCGCCGUGUAUUUCAGUGAACCAGGUCUGUUUACCUGCCCCAGUCCAGUCACCUGUGUUCCAGCCCAGUAGCUAAGGUGAUGGGGGCCGGGGCAGGCCCCACAUUCGUGAAAGCUUUAAUCAAAGCUGUGACAUUUUGUGCAGGUGAAGUUAUACCAUCAUCCCAGAGAUGUACGUACAUGAUUGCAGGAAGGCGUGCUUUGUACAACUCUAAAUAAACCUUGUCCUGUUACCAAA